GGCGUUGUUGUGUCGUCAACAGACGCUUCGCAGUUGGUGUACCGAGGACGCGAGCGCGUUAACAACAAAGCUGUGUGCGUGUGUGAGUGUGUGUGUGUGGGGCGUAAGCUCGCUGCUAGCUCGUACACUGCAGUUUCACGGAAACAAACAACCGGGUAAAGGACGCUUGGCACUUCCGUUAUUGGAUUCAAUUAGCCCUCUGUGAGGUAGACACAACGGACGCAGACUUGCCUGGUGGCAUUGUUCGCAUCGCGCGACUGUGAAAUGUUCUUCCAAGUUUCGACCGUGUCAUCGCGGCGUCAAAGCAAUAUGGACACACCGCGUACGUGCAAAUUGCAGCGUCAUGCAGCUGAAUAAUGUUAUUCCGAGCUUUUCAACUUGUGCCAGAGGUAAUUAUUGUGGUGAAAAGUUUUGUGCACGCUGUGUUUCGUGACGAGUUUCUUCCUCGUUUGAGGCGUCGCGUCGUGGCAGCGAUCAGUGUCGUCCAGAAGCGGUAGGUGAUAUCUCGUCACUUACGGGGGUCAAGAGGAGGUGCGGGCGGAUGCUGUAAGGUGUUUUCCGUGCCCCAGGGUGGCUGGAGGUGACUGCCGGACAAGUAAGGUAGUUCGAUGCAGGAACUUAGAAGUCCGUAAGUAGCCGCAUUUGCAAAGCUGAAUAACGUGCGGUUUAAAUUCAAUGAAGCGAAGAUAUAAUACCUAACGGAUAAAUCUUCUGACAACAAGUAACCGCUCUUCCGGUCGGGUGAUGUGACACGAAAUACUUUCAUAAACACUUGUCGCAAGAGCUCCGGCGUUGGCGGUCACGUAAAUAAACAUGGCUGCCGGCCGACGCUAGAUUCUGGCAGAGCGUCGAGUUAGUUCGCGCGGAUCGGUGCCUCGUGUUCUUCGAUUAUUACGGAGAAACGACGUCGACUACAACGUGAUAAGUUCCGAAAAUGAAGUUGAAGUCGAAGUUGUUGUGUCAGUGCAGUGAAAGGUGAAAAGACAAGUGUGUUACGUGAGAGUUGAGUGAAUUCAAGAAACGUUGUCAGAAAUUGCGUGCCAGGAUGCUGGUGCUGUUCCCUUUCGCUGCAAUUGAUACAGAAAUACCUCCUUCGUCCAAGGGAACGAGACUAAAAUGUACGGCAUUUUGAUCGCGGAGAUGCAAAGACGUCGACAAGAGAGAGUCUGUAAGCAUCGAUUGGAUGAAUCGGGCAUUGAACUACGACUGCAGUUCUUCGUCAACUGUAUCUGCUCACCCGGUAUGAGAAAUCUAGGCUGUCGGGAUGAGCGGAUAUUCAAUUAGCCAGCACUCCGUUUGAAGAAGACUACAACGGAAAAGCCCCGAUGAUUCAAACCCGCAUCCUCAAUCUCCCGGAGCAGCUUGAAGCAUGGUAAAGGAAUCCCCGCCAGCGGGGUUAAAGAAUCGAAUAUCCACUUCAUCCCUUGAUUCAUCUGGUGCAAAGCGGAAAGUCGAAUGAUUCGAUUCCCAUUUGAAACACGAUUCGGCCCAGUUUCCGGCCAUGGAACCGGCGUAAUUAAAUUUGUAUUACAGAGACAAAAAUGAAUGCUAGAUUAAUGCGUCUACUCUUGUUAUUCUACUUACGCUGAUUUUCACCCGCAUGUUUAUAAUCUAAAAGCCACCAAAAGCAAUAUCAUUUGCUUACGGUUUUUAGACGUGCAAUAAUUCUGCAGUUCCGACAAUUAAGUCGCCGCUGCAAUGCCGGAACGCUUACAAAGAUUGCAGGACGUUCUACGUGAGUGCUUGUAUCAGUUUUACUCGCACACUAAUUCUCUUACCGUUAAAACGGUCUGAAAUCUCAUUACAUCAAAAGUAAUGACAGCUUGAAUUUAUAUAACCUAACAGCUGCUGCUCCACUUUGGUAUCAGGGUACCUACGAGACAUAACAGCCACGGCGUUUUACGUAUUCAAGCUGUAAAAGUGUUCCUCGUAUAAUUUUUUGAGAAAAAAUUAACUUUUUAAAGUGAUUCUUCCUUACGGGUAAAUUCUGCAAAUCAUACCAAGGGUUAAAGCUUGUGUGAGUAAACUGAUCCUCAUCACUAAGGAACCCUAAAAAUUACACCUUUUGAACAUUCGAAUUAACGCUUUUCUUGCAACUGCCCAUAAUUUCCAUUCCGAAAACUAUCCCCCAAGUGACCGCAGCGGAUGCUUGUUCUUUUUUCGGAAGUAACCCUUGGGUCUAGUUGAUGUCUUGCACGAACAUUUCCAAAAUAGUUAGGGUAACUGUUGUGCCAGCUCUGUAUGCCUGUGAAUUACGGCUUAAGAACUACCGAAUUACGUUCACACUGCAAAAACCUCGUGUCUAGAGAUGGUAUCACGUAACUGUAAACCGGUUUUUAUCUUAACAUACAUUUUAUUGCUCAAAAUUUUUUGAUGAGAAUUCAAUAGUAAGACUCUAAAAAAGCUGUACACCCAACGCAUGUAGUCUUCAUGAAAAACUACGAGUGUAUAGGAAAAUCAAAUCCAAACAGGUUCCUUUGUUUAUUCAGCAACGAAACAUCGGAGCCGAACAACCCUCAACCGCUAAUCAAGUAUACACGAAGCCAGGUAUAUAUAUAUAUACACCGCUCAAAAAGGUAAACUACUACUUUCAUCUAUCAUCGAAUUAAUAAUCUGCUGCAUGUACAAAUACAACGAGUGAUUCACACGGAAUCGGCUAUAUAUAAGAACAAAAGCUUCUAAUACUAACACCUGCGCAGGUAC